AACGAUUAAGACUCUCUUCGGAGAGUGCAUAAAGUGGCGCACGGGUGAGUAACACGUAAGUAAUCUACCUUCGAGUGGGGAAUAACGUUCGGAAACGGACGCUAAUACCGCAUAAUGCAGCGGCAUCGCGAGAUGACAGUUGUUAAAGAUUUAUCGCUUGAAGAGGAGCUUGCGGCAGAUUAGCUAGUUGGUAAGGUAACGGCUUACCAAGGCGACGAUCUGUAUCCGGUCUAAGAGGACGGUCGGACACACUGACACUGAAUAACGGGUCAGACUCCUACGGGAGGCAGCAGUCGGGAAUUUUGGGCAAUGGGCGAAAGCCUGACCCAGCAACGCCGCGUGAAGGAUGAAGUAUUUCGGUAUGUAAACUUCGUAAGAAUAGGAAGAAUAAAUGACGGUACUAUUUGUAAGGUCCGGCUAACUACGUGCCAGCAGCCGCGGUAAUACGUAGGGACCAAGCGUUGUUCGGAUUUACUGGGCGUAAAGGGCGCGUAGGCGGCAAUUCAAGUCAGCUGUGAAAUCUCCGGGCUUAACUCGGAACGGUCAGCUGAUACUGCUUUGCUAGAGUACAGAAGGGGCAAUCGGAAUUCUUGGUGUAGCGGUGAAAUGCGUAGAUAUCAAGAGGAACACCUGAGGUGAAGACGGGUUGCUGGGCUGAUACUGACGCUGAGGCGCGAAAGCUAGGGUAGCAAACGGGAUUAGAUACCCCGGUAGUCCUAGCCCUAAACGAUGAAUACUUGGUGUCUGGAGUUUUUAUCCUCCGGGUGCCGUCGCUAACGUUUUAAGUAUUC
rnacentral:rRNA from 1 species